UACGAAGGGGGCUAGCGUUGCUCGGAAUCACUGGGCGUAAAGCGCACGUAGGCGGAUCUUUAAGUCAGAGGUAGAAAUCCCAAGCUCAACCUUGGAACUGCCUUUGAUACUGGGGAUCUCGAGUCCGGAAGAGGUGAGUGGAACUGCGAGUGUAGAGGUGAAAUUCGUAGAUAUUCGCAAGAACACCAGUGGCGAAGGCGGCUCACUGGUCCGGUACUGACGCUGAGGUGCGAAAGCGUGGGGAGCAAACAG
rnacentral:rRNA from 1 species